GACGAACGCUGGCGGCGUGCUUAACACAUGCAAGUCGAACGAAGAGCGAUGGAAGCUUGCUUCUAUCAAUCUUAGUGGCGAACGGGUGAGUAACGCGUAAUCAACCUGCCCUUCAGAGGGGGACAACAGUUGGAAACGACUGCUAAUACCGCAUACGAUCUAAUCUCGGCAUCGAGGAUAGAUGAAAGGUGGCCUCUACAUGUAAGCUAUCACUGAAGGAGGGGAUUGCGUCUGAUUAGCUAGUUGGAGGGGUAACGGCCCACCAAGGCGAUGAUCAGUAGCCGGUCUGAGAGGAUGAACGGCCACAUUGGGACUGAGACACGGCCCAGACUCCUACGGGAGGCAGCAGUGGGGAAUCUUCCGCAAUGGACGAAAGUCUGACGGAGCAACGCCGCGUGAGUGAUGACGGCCUUCGGGUUGUAAAGCUCUGUUAAUCGGGACGAAAGGCCUUCUUGCGAACAGUU
rnacentral:rRNA from 1 species